UACGUAGGGGGCUAGCGUUGUCCGGAAUCAUUGGGCGUAAAGAGCGCGUAGGCGGCCAGAUAAGUCCGGUGUGAAAGUCAAAGGCUCAACCUUUGAAUGCCGCUGGAAACUGUCUGGCUAGAGUCCGGGAGGGGCGAGUGGAAUUCCUGGUGUAGCGGUGAAAUGCGCAGAUAUCAGGAGGAACACCAAUGGCGAAGGCAGCUCGCUGGGACGUUACUGACGCUGAGACGCGAAAGCGUGGGGAGCAAACAGG
rnacentral:rRNA from 1 species